UGCAGCCGAAAGCAACAGGGUGACGCCCCUCGAAAGGCGUCUUAAAAGGGAACGGGGUUAGAAGCCCCGGCAGACCCGCUGCCGUAAGUCUCACACCAAAAAGGUCGUUGCGACCUGAGCGCCACUGUCGACAUCAGAUGGGAAGGCCUCGCACCGACAGGAGACGAGCCGGAAGACCUGCCCGUUGCCGACAACCCGC
rnacentral:ncRNA from 2 species